rnacentral:lncRNA from 1 species
UCUAGUACAAAUGAAAGCUUCGAGUGCACUUAGCAUUCACUAUAUUUAUUAAUAACUCUAUGAGUUUUGCCUUUAAGCAGAUUUUUAUGAGACUAGACAUAUUAUUAUCGCUUCCAAACAUAACUCUGUUACUCCAGGAUACAAAGUUCUCAAUUGUUAAAUGAAAGCUUCAAGUGCAGUUGACAUAGUAAAUAUCCAUUGAAGUUCUAUGCGACGAUGCAAAUCUUGCAGUUGCAGAAGCCGAAGACCACACCAUCGCACCAAUACUGCGUGAUUUUAUAAUACCAACGAUGUUGGCAAUGAUAGAGGCAUUCAGACUUUAUACAUAAUGUCAUCCUGUCGCGCUUAAUCUCACAGUUCUCUGUGCAUCUCAAAUACAUUAAGGGUUAGACCAUAAUAGUGAGACAUCAAUUGUGACAACAUACCAUGUCAAACUAUUGCAUAAUUGGUAACAAGUAUUAUUCCUCCACGGCAUAGAAACAAUGUGCUUCAACAUCAUAUUUAAGAAAACUUCUAGUUAUCCCAUAAGAAACCUACUUCAGAAGAACAAAAGCUAGAACAUACCUGCAGUCAUCCUGCUUCCUAACAACACAAGCAUCACCAUAAAACAAGCAAUGGAAGACCGUUUGUCCAUGCUUGAAUUCCACACCCGACGAGGUCCAAGGAACGAUAUAUAAUGUCAAAUGGAUAAGGAACGAAGUAUCUCAUCUAUAAGACUUAAAGGCAAAUAAAGCUGCAUCC